rnacentral:lncRNA from 1 species
AUGACAUCUGCUCUUUUUUUCCAUUUUAAAGGGCACCGUGAAGCACAGAACUCCAGUAACCCCAACACAAUGAUCUGCUUGGGCUGUGCGAAAAGUCUGGGAGGGUGCAAAGGUUCCUUCUUCCUUCACUCUUUCCAGACCACACCAACCCCUGAUUUCUGCUUAAUCGGCUCAAACCUUCUCUCUCUGCUUGUGCUUAGGCUGAGGAGUCUCCCAUUUUCCCACAUUGAACCAUAUUUUGAUUUUUCCUGGCCAAACCCCAGCUCAGGACCGGGUGCUCUGCAAGAAGACGACGUGAGCCUGAGCAGGGCACAGCGCCACAGCACGGGGAGGAGGGGCCCCAGCUGAAAGCUGGGCUUGGAGAAGGCGGCCCUCCUGCUCCUCCCCUGUCCUCCUUCCUGCAUGCUGCUGCAAACCAUGGUGCCAGAUACUCCCCGAGGAGCUGACCCCCUCCCUGACCCAGCUCUGUCUGCAUGCUCGGAAGAAAGCCCUAAUUUUAGCAGGAUGUAAGUGAUAUCACAGCAUGUUAGAGAAAUAUUGGCUUGCAAUGGCUCCAACGCUGUCAAAGCUCUAGGAAAGGAACGGCCAGCGCAGGUGGGGUUACCCGGUGUUCUCUGAAGUUAUUAGAUCUGAGAAAAUAUCUGCUGGGCAGCAAGUCUCCUUGUGGGGAGAUAGGGAGUUGUGAAGUGCUUACAGGCUGUAAGUCCAAGAGCUGCUUCUGCUUCCGUGUGAGAUAACCAGGUACGGGAGAUAACCAGGUACCCGUGGGAGCCGUCUCCAUCAGCCCCACCAGGAGAGGUGGAGGGGGCUGAGCACGGCCCCUGAUGAGGGCAGCGGGACAAGGUGGCUCUGUGCAGUUAAGAAAGGAGGGUUUGGGGUGGGAAUUGGCAGCGGAGAAGGGACAGGAGGUGCCAAAAUGCUCUGGGAGCCGAGCUGGACACAGGCUCUGCAUCGCUCCCCGGCAGCGCUGGGGGAGCUGUAAACGCCACCGGCGCCAUCCGCAGUGGCUGAUUUAUGAACCCCGCGCCCCUUCUGCACAGCGCCUUUCCUUCCUGCUCACAAAAUCAUCCCAGGCAGGGUUCCCUGGCAGCAGCUCGGGCCCCUUGCUGUAUCCCCCACGUGCUGUCUGGCCGCUGGGAUGAAGCAGAGGUGCUCCAGCAGGUACCCGGACCGACCUGCCUCCUCCCCAGCGAGGGUGAGCACUAAUUACUGCUGGCAUCAAAUCAUUUCUUAUUUAUUACACUGGAGGCAUCCUAAAAUGCGUGAGCAACACCUUGCAACAGCGAUGUGAGGGGAGCUGCAGUGCAGGCAGGAGCUACCUGAGAGCUGCUGCAGAGGGAGGGCUGUG